UACGUAGGUGGCGAGCGUUGUCCGGAUUUACUGGGCGUAAAGAGCGCGCAGGCGGCUGGUCAAGUCCGAUGUGAAAGCUCCCGGCUUAACUGGGAAAUUGCAUCGGAAACUGAUCGGCUGGAAGGUGGGAGAGGGUAGCGGAAUUCCCGGUGUAGUGGUGAAAUGCGUAGAUAUCAGGAGGAACACCUGUGGUGUAGACAGCUUACUGGACCAUUUCUGACGCUGAGACACGAAAGCGUGGGUAGCAAACAGG
rnacentral:rRNA from 1 species